CAUGUUAUUGGAAAUAAAUAGAAAGUAGAAUAUACAUAGAUGUUGUUGAAACGGCGUAAUUAGGAAACAUAAAUGAGUAGAAGAAAUAAUGUACCACGCUAAUAUCUACAAUCUGGGACGGAAUAAUAAUCAGUAAUUAGCAGAGUGUGAUAAAGAAACUGAUGCAACAAAUUAUAUAAUAAUAUUUGAAUCACAGGAUUGUAGUCAAAAGAGUACUGAUUACUGGACUAAUGCGGCCGCUAUCCUCGACAAAUACGAAACGUAUUUAUUCGAUGUUGGUCCAAUGAAGAAAUUUAAAACUAAAAAACUCAUGUGGUCACAAAUAUCCAGAGAUAUGAUGAAAAUGUUAAACAUCUCUAAAACUUCUCUACAAAUUGAAAAUCGGUACAAGACCGUCUUGAAAAGAAAGUAGAAAGCCAUAGAGAAUAAUUGUAAAUCAGGUAGUUCCACAGAAAAACCAUUUGAAGAGGAAUUGCGGAAAAUUGCACAUUCAGAUGACAGCAUCGAACCAGAGGUAUUGCAAAGUGUCAGAAGUGUGAGAUAUCCUAAAUUCAAUGUACCUAAAAUUCCGGAAGAAAUCUGCAGCAUUAACCUUGCAAAGCAUGCUCCAUGGCUCGCCGAAGGCAAAAAAGUCUAGGCGGACUAAUGAAGAUAUAAAGAUGGAAUUAUUUAAAAAAAAAAAAAGAAGCCGCAAAGGGAAAGCAACAUAAGGAAAAGUUAGACCUGGUACGCGAGUUGUUCGGUAAACCGAAUACAGAGUAAUACAGUAAUAAAGUAAU